CGUACCUUUAUGUGCGUGUUUUGAUUUCAUAUCCACAGGCUGACAUCAUUGUUCGUGGUUAUGCUGGUUGGAACUUUACGUUUGCCUUGAAGGUCUUCCCAAAGAUCAUGAGGAACCAGGAUUACUUUGUGGGAGGUUCGAAGAGAAAAAAAAACAUUGUGGUUUUGGAUCCGAGGAUGCUUUUAUGGGAUCAUCAUCAGUGAUUGGCUUUGAUGGAAACGCUUCUUCUCCGUGACGUCUUCUGGGG